rnacentral:rRNA from 1 species
UGAAUACGAGACGCUAAGGCGUCGAAGUAGUGUAUGUCAUACUUCCAAGAAAAGCUUGCACUGUCAUAGAUAAAAAACGCCUGUACCAUAACCGACACAGGUGGGUAGGUAGAGUAUACUAAGGGGCGCGAGAUAACUCUCUCUAAGGAACUCGGCAAAAUAACUCCGUAACUUCGGGAGAAGGAGUGCCUUAUUAUUAAGGUUGCAAUAACAAGAUCCAAGCAACUGUUUAUCAAAAACACAGGUCUCCGCUAAGUCGUAAGACGAUGUAUGGGGGCUGACGCCUGCCCAGUGCCAGAAGGUUAAAGAAGCUGGUUAGCAUUUGCGAAGCUAGUAACUGAAGCCCUGGUGAACGGCGGCCGUAACAAUAACGGUCCUAAGGUAGCGAAAUUCCUUGUCGGGUAAGUUCCGACCCGCACGAAAGGCGUAAUGAUUUGGAUACUGUCUCGGAGAGGGGCUCGGUGAAAUAGACUUGUCUGUGAAGAUGCGGACUACCUGCACCAGGACAGAAAGACCCUAUGAAGCUUUACUGUAACUUGAAAUUGAAAUUGGACUUUAUUCGCGCAGUAUAGGUGGGAGGCGUUGAUUAUAAUCUUGCGGGAUUAUUGGAGCCAUUAGUGAGAUACCACUCUUGUAAUGUUAGAUUUCUAAUUUUGAAUCAUUAUCUGGUCAAAGAACAGUUUCAGGCGGGCAGUUUGACUGGGGCGGUCGCCUCCUAAACGGUAACGGAGGCGUACAAAGGUUUCCUCUGAACGGUUAGAAAUCGUAUCUAGAGUGUAAAGGCAUAAGGAAGCUUGACUGUGAGACCUACAAGUCGAGCAGGGACGAAAGUCGGUCUUAGUGAUCUGACGGUACUGAGUGGAAAGGCCGUCACUCAACGGAUAAAAGUUACUCUAGGAUAACAGGCUGAUCUCCCCCAAGAGUUCACAUCGACGGGGAGGUUUGGCACCUCGAUGUCGGCUCAUCGCAUCCUGGGGCGGUAGUACGUCCCAAGGGUUGGGCUGUUCGCCCAUGAAAGCGGUACGCGAGCUGGGUUCAGAACGUCGUGAGACAGUUCGGUCCAUAUCCGGUGUAGGCGUUAGAAUAUUGAGAGGAGCCUUCUUUAGUACGAGAGGACCGAGAAGGACAUACCUCUGGUGUACCAGUUAUCGUGCCAACGGUAGACGCUGGGUAGCUAUGUAUGGAGUGGAUAACCGCUGAAAGCAUCUAAGUGGGAAGCCCACCUCAAGAUAAGUAUUCUCAC